rnacentral:rRNA from 1 species
CAGCAGCCACGGUAAUACGUAGGGUGCAAGCGUUAAUCGGAAUUACUGGGCGUAAAGCGUGCGCAGGCGGUUCGCUAAGACAGAUGUGAAAUCCCCGGGCUUAACCUGGGAACUGCAUUUGUGACUGGCGGGCUAGAGUAUGGCAGAGGGGGGUAGAAUUCCACGUGUAGCAGUGAAAUGCGUAGAGAUGUGGAGGAAUACCGAUGGCGAAGGCAGCCCCCUGGGCCAAUACUGACGCUCAUGCACGAAAGCGUGGGGAGCAAACAGGAUUAGAUACCCGAGUAGUCCCUGUCUCUUAUAC